GAAUGCAUAAUGUCGAAUUUGUUCUUCCUGGAAUACUUAAACAAGAAUUGGAUUUUCAUAGUUUCAACUUUUAGCGGCAAUGUUGGUAUGAAUGAUGAUAAACAUUUUUUACAUUUUUAUCACAGUUAAAAAUAUCAUCAGUAAUUUACAAUGAGGAAAUUUUCAGACCAAUGAUUUGUAUUUAAGGAAAUAUAAAGUAUAAACAUGAAAAGCAAA